GAUGAACGCUGGCGGCGUGCCUAAUACAUGCAAGUCGAGCGAACAGAUGAGGAGCUUGCUCCUCUGACGUUAGCGGCGGACGGGUGAGUAACACGUGGAUAACCUACCUAUAAGACUGGGAUAACUUCGGGAAACCGGAGCUAAUACCGGAUAAUAUAUUGAACCGCAUGGUUCAAUAGUGAAAGACGGUUUUGCUGUCACUUAUAGAUGGAUCCGCGCCGCAUUAGCUAGUUGGUAAGGUAACGGCUUACCAAGGCAACGAUGCGUAGCCGACCUGAGAGGGUGAUCGGCCACACUGGAACUGAGACACGGUCCAGACUCCUACGGGAGGCAGCAGUAGGGAAUCUUCCGCAAAGGGCGAAAGCCUGACGGAGCAACGCCGCGUGAGUGAUGAAGGUCUUCGGAUCGUAAAACUCUGUUAUUAGGGAAGAACAAAUGUGUAAGUAACUAUGCACGUCUUGACGGUACCUAAUCAGAAAGCCACGGCUAAUUACGUG
rnacentral:rRNA from 1 species